rnacentral:tRNA from 1 species
GGGAGUUUAGCUCAGCUGGGAGAGCAUCUGCCUUACAAGCAGAGGGUCA